CAGGCACGUCCUCGACCUCAGUUGCCACGUGCACAUGCUGGUGCCUUCCAGGCUGGAGUAUAGUGGCAUGAUCAUAGAUCACUGCAGCCUCAAACUCCUGGGCUCAAGCGAUCCUCCCACCUCAGCCUCCAUAUAGCUGGUGGGGACCAAGUUUCUAACACAUGAAUGUUGGGAGACACAUUCAGACCAUCGCAGUGGCCUUAUAAAAAGAGACACAAGAGCUUGCUCUCUGCCAUGUGAGAAUACCACAAGAAGACUGUCCUCAGCAAAUCAGAAAGCGGGUGGACCCUCAUCAGACACCAGAUGUGCCUGCACCUUGAUCUUGGACUUGCCAGCCUUCAGAACAGUAAGAAAGAAAUGUGUGUUGUUUAAGCCACCCAGUCUAUGGUAACUUGCUAUAGCAGCCCACUAGGAGACCCCAAGAUAUUUAAAAACUCAUCAGCACCUGCUUUCUGCAUCUGGACCCUGAUCUUCUGGUGGGUUUACCAGUUACUUGUAGAGUGUCCCUGUGAUAGUUUUAGGUGUCAACUUGACAGGAUUGAGGGAUGCCUAGAUGGCUGGGGAAGCACUGUUUCUGAGAAGGACCAUGUUUUUGGAGGAGACUGUUUUAUGAGUGAAUUUCAGGGGACACAUUCAGAUCAUGGCAGUGGCAUUAUAAAGAGAGACACAAAAGCUUGCUCUCUCUCUCUGCCAUGUAAGACUACCACACAAAGACUGCCAUCUGCAAACCAGAAGCAGGUGGGCUUUCCUCAGACACCAGAUCUGCCUGCACCUUGAUCUUGGACUUGCCAGCCUUCAGAACUCUAAGAAAGAAAUGGUAGCAUGGCUUGGUCUAAGUUGGAAGGCCUGAGAAACAAGCACAUGGUGGAACUGAGUUCAAGGAUAAAGACUUGAGAAUACCUGCUCAGUGGACUGAGUAGGGAAGAUCAACCCUCAAUGUAGGCAGGCACUAUCCAAUCACCUGAGGGCCCAGAUGGAACAAAAAGGUGGAAGAAGGGUGAAUUCUCUCUUCCAGAGCUGUGACACCCUUCUCAUGCCCUUGUACCACACAACUCUAGGUCCUUUGGCCUUUGGACUCUGACACUUGCACCAGUGGCCCUCUGGGGCUCUCAAGCCUUUAGCCUUGAACUUAGUUACACCAUGUGCCUCCUUGUUUCUCAGGCCUUCCAACUUGGAUCAGGCCAUGCCACCGGCUUCUCUGAUUCUCCAGCUUGCAGAUGGUAUAUUGUGACCCUGGCAUUUAAUAACUAUGACUUUGGUCUUAAGCAAUUUUCUUCCUCUGUGGAUUGAUAUUUACAUAUCAAUGUGGAUAAUAAUUUCUUACCACGGUAACUGUUGUGAGGUAAAAAUGAGUUAACAUAAGUAAAACCGAGCACAUGCAAACCAUCCGAAAUGGUUAAUACUUACUAUUUGUACUUGAAGAAAUAAAUGUUUUUGACAAUAAA
rnacentral:lncRNA from 1 species